rnacentral:rRNA from 1 species
CAAGUCGAGCGAACGUCAAAGGAGCUUGCUCCUUUGACGUUAGCGGCGGACGGGUGAGUAACACGUGGGCAACCUACCCUAUAGUUUGGGAUAACUCCGGGAAACCGGGGCUAAUACCGAAUAACCUCUUUUACUUCAUGGUGAAAGACUGAAAGACGGUUUCGGCUGUCGCUAUAGGAUGGGCCCGCGGCGCAUUAGCUAGUUGGUGAGGUAACGGCUCACCAAGGCGACGAUGCGUAGCCGACCUGAGAGGGUGAUCGGCCACACUGGGACUGAGACACGGCCCAGACUCCUACGGGAGGCAGCAGUAGGGAAUCUUCCACAAUGGGCGAAAGCCUGAUGGAGCAACGCCGCGUGAGUGAAGAAGGUUUUCGGAUCGUAAAACUCUGUUGUAAGGGAAGAACAAGUACAGUAGUAACUGGCUGUACCUUGACGGUACCUUAUUAGAAAGCCACGGCUAACUACGUGCCAGCAGCCGCGGU